AUCCAGCUGACGAGUUGCAAAUAGGACGAAACGCGCGUCCUGGAU
rnacentral:hammerhead_ribozyme from 1 species